AAUGUGAAAAAAGCUAAAAUGAAUGUGUUGUCUGGGCUACAUUACCACUGAGAGCUUGGGGUCCACUUCCAAGCUCAUUUUGUUUUGUCAUAAUUCAAUUUCUUAUGGUACUUGUCUUGAUUUUCUUGGUGGUUGUCAACUGGGGCCCACUGUCAGCCACUAGAGGCCAGUCUGAGGUCCUUGCCCCAUGGCUCCCUUCCAUCUGGGUGUUAUUUUAAGUCUCCAAGUUUUUUGUUAUGCAGCUAUAGAAAAUCAAUACAAUCAAGUCUCACAGUGAACAUUCAGGAAUGUGCUGGAGUUGCUUUACAACAGCCACUAGCCUGAAAGAGCAAAUAAGGACAUAGAGAAGAAUCACAUGAAUUUUCUUGUAGAAUAUGGUGAUGGGUGCUGUGCAAGAAGAAGGAGGGAAGAAGGAAGCUGAGUGUGCAGCAAAGACACCUGCGGGGACACACAGAACUAGGCAUUUGCUGAAGGACACCUGGAUUGCACAACCAGCGGCUAACUUGCAUGAAAAAAACAUUCUAGAGUCUGGAGUUGCUUCUGUUGGCCGUCAAUUUCCUAUGGUGCAGAGGGGCUACGAAUAUAAUACAGAUUAAACUCCCUGCAGGAAGUCUUUUAUGGAUAAGAACAAGUUCAGCUUCCCAUUGGGGAUGACAGAGCUGGUGCUCAGGUAAUCAACAUCCUGCUGAGCCUAUGAGAAAGCAUUUGGGACAACUUGACAAUGCAUGGUGCGAAGUUUAAGAAAUCUUGUUCACACAAAUAGAUCCUGUUUCAGGAGGAUAUGCCACUCUUAUUUACAGAGAGGAACUGGAUUCUUGGCUUAGACCAAAUAUAGAGGAGUCUCCCCUUAUCUUGAUCUCUUUUCUAUGAUUCCUUUUCUGUGAACAUUCAGGACUGUCUGAACGAAAUGGGACCCCCAUCUCCUGCCACUUCUGGAGAACAAACAACCCACUCAAAACCAUUUACCCAUCAUCACUGUCUAGAUCAUUGCACAGGAUUUUAAAGGAAAAAUAAGGUAAUGUUGCUGAUUUUCAGAAAUAUUUUCAGCUUCAGAUAUCUGUGAUAAAAAUGAGAAAAAAGAAGUGGAUGUUCUGUCAGAAGGUGUUGGUGAGAUAGGAGACCCAGAAUUGGGAGAAGCAACUUAGAUGGAGAGCAACUUAAAUGGGAGAAGUGAUGAACAUGCGUGAGAAAAAAGUGACUGCUCCCUUUGUGAUCGGGGCGAACAUGACUAACUGAUCCAGGAAUUUGUUUCAUUUGGUCAUGAAUGGGCUUUGCAAAUCCUUCCUAAUGACAUGACAGUGUCACCUACUGGCAAAGCAGGACCCUAUGAGGCAUCUAAAGGGAGAUUUGGCCAGAUAUGUUGUUUAUCAAUCAGAAGCCAGGUACUUCCUCCACUUUUCAUCCUCCCUACUUUUCCUUUCUACAGAAAUGAUUUCUUUUCAGGUCAGUAAUUUAAUAAACAUACCUACUUUGUGCUCAGCACUCUACUAAGCUACUAAGAGCUUUUAUAUACAUUAUUUCAUUCUACAUUCACCAAAGUGUAAAGAGAUAGGUGCAUUUCCACUUUCUAGAUGAGGCUCACAGAGGUAAAACAACUUGAACAGGCAGAAAGUUGUAGAAUUAAGAAUGAUACAUGUUAGACUCCAGAAAGCAUGCUCUUUACCUCUGUAACAGAUCAUUCUGUCUCUUCAGUUUAAAUGCAAGGGACAUUAAUACCUCUCUAGAAUUUUACUCAAUUCUAUUGUCUUCCUCCUAAUUUACUUCUUAACUACCUAAUUCUUGAAACAGAUUAGAAGCAGAUAGUAAAGAAGUGUCCUUAUUUUCUUCUAGGUAUGUCUUUGCAUUAUUAAAGUGUAUCUCAUUCUUUAGAUUGCCUAGUCUUAAGGUCCAGGUGGCUAAGUUAAUUCAAGCAAUUAAUUGGUCGAUUGAGAGGUAAAAUACUAUAAAACUGAUUGACUAGCAUGACAAGACUCCGUAUAAAAGUGGAUGUAUUUGUUCAUCCAUUACCUAUUUCUUAACAUUUUCUAGAAAAUUAAGUAGCUACAAUAUACAAAAAUAGAAGAUAGUGUAAAUAUAAAUUAAAAGAUGUAAUAAAGAAUCUACUUUUACCAGGUGUAGUCCCAGCUACUUGGAAGGCUGAGGCAAGAGGAUCACUUGAGAAGAGACGUUCAAGGCUGUAGUGCACCAUGAUUGCCCCUUGUGAAUAGCCACUGAACUCCAGCCUGAGCAACAGAGUGAGACCUCAUCUGUAAACAAACAAAACUGCUCCUGAAUUUCAAUGUCAAUUUAUUGUAGAAAUCUUAAAAACUUAAUCCUCCUAAAAUAAUGCUGUUUUUAGGGCAACACAUAAUUGUGUACAAUUUCAUGUUUCUUUUGAAGUGAUAAAUUAAUUAAAAAUAAUUGAAACAGUUAUUAAAGAAUAAAGACAUUGUGACAAAGAAAUGACUGGGAACCACAUAAAGCAAGAUAUUUUGUACUUUCAAAUAAUGCUGAUUUUUAGGGCUAACAAGUUUCAGUAGUAGCUUAAUAAAUAUACAUUAAGAAAUGCCCUUUCUGAAUUCAAUUUUAUGAUGUUCAAGUACAAAAAAUAUUCAUCCAUUGAGACUUUGAACUGUGAAAUGAUCAAUGAAGAGGUGAGCAGCACUUAACUUGAAGCUAACAUCUCAUCAAAUUGUUCGAACUUCACUCCUUGGUCAUAAGGUUUUCCAGAUCCAGAGCAAGGUAGCCAUAUGGCAUUGAUAUUCGAAAUACAAAGGCAAGUAUCGGUUUUAAAAACAGUAUUAUUGAUUUUUUUCUUCUUUUCCAAUUUUCUCUUCUUGAAAUUGUGCUGCUACAAAUUUGAAUUUUAAAAUAUCUUAUUUUUCAAAUUUGUAUUGUUUCAUCUAUUGAAUGGUUUUUACUUUAAGGAAGUUCAGAAAGUUUUUAUGUUCUCAGCCAUUCUUUUUUAUAGAAAAUAUCUUAAAAACUGAAAAGCCUCUGAAAGGCUCAGGUGAACGAAAAUAGAAAAAAAAGUAUUUAUCUAUCUAUCUCACUCUUCUUUUUAAUUUCUCUUUAAUGCUUCCCUUACAAAUAUAUUGGAAAGAAAACUAUUUAGGUGGUACAAGGCUUCUCCCUGGUUUCAUUUUUCUUGCUGGUAUACACAAUUAAUUUGUGGCAGCAUUAUUUUUACUUCGGAGCCCUGAUUUCCCGCAAUUAUUGGUAUGAUGGAGCUCAGACCUGUGUUUCAGAGUUAAAUACUCUUCCAAGAAUUUCCACAUUAUAAAACUCCCCAACCAGCACUAAACUGUACACAUAAAAAUUGUAAAAAUGGUAAAUUAUAUAUGCAUAUUGUACCUUAAAAAAUAAAGAUUUUUUUAUAAAAAAAUAAAGAUUUUUUUAAAAAAACAAAUACCUCCUGCCCCACAAAAAAAAUUUCUCACCCCAUCCAAGUACCAGUCACUAGACUCUAACAAACAGUUUGGAAUUCAACUGGUGUCCAAAAGGUUAACAACAUUACCAAGGUGAAGGAACCAAAUCGGUAUCAUACACUGGGGCCAUGGGGAAGCUUUUGGAACUAGGAUUUCUGAGAUCUUUUUACCAUAUACAGCAGGGAAAUCUUUGUAAAAAGGAGGAAAUUGGUAUAGUAUAUUCUGCUGCUGGCACAAAAAGUGUUUACCAAACUAAAGUAUCCUGUAGUUCAAAAAUGUUAUCACAAGAUUCCCUUUGUGUAUCUAUUUAAAGUUUUGGUAUAUUUUCAAUAAAAAUUAAUAAAAAUAUUUCUUCUCAUAA